UUUUCUGCUUUUUUUUUUCUUAAGGUUAUUGCUAGAAUUGUAGAUGGGAGUAAAUUUGAUGAAUUCAAAGCCUUGUAUGGAGAUACUUUAAUCACAGGAUUUGCAAGAAUAUUUGGUUAUCCAGUAGGAAUUAUUGGAAACAAUGGAGUUCUCUUCUCAGAGUCAG